AGAGUUUGAUCCUGGCUCAGAACGAACGUUGGCGGCGUGGAUUAGGCAUGCAAGUCGAACGAGAAAACACCCUUCGGGGUGCGAGUAAAGUGGCGAACGGGUGAGUAACGCGUGGGGAACCUACCCUUGAGUGGGGGAUAACGCUCCUAACGGGGCGCUAAUACCGCAUGACACCGGAGGCAGGCAUCUGCUUCCGGUCGAAGAUGGCCUCUGAAUGUAAGCUGUCGCUUAAGGAUGGCCCCGCGUCCGAUUAGCUUGUUGGUGGUGUAACGGCCCACCAAGGCGACGACCGGUAGCCGGCCUGAGAGGGUGUCCGGCCACACUGGGACUGAGAUACGGCCCAGACUCCUACGGGAGGCAGCAGUCGAGAGGCUUCCACAAUGGGGGAAACCCUGAUGGAGCGACGCCGCGUGGGUGAGGAAGGUCUUCGGAUCGUAAAACCCUGUCAGGAGGGAAGAAAACCGGAUUGGUUAAUAACCUUUCCGCUUGACGGUACCUCCAGAGGAAGCUCCGGCUAACUCCGUGCCAGCAGCCGCGGUAACACGGAGGGAGCAAACGUUGUUCGGAAUCACUGGGCGUAAAGGGCGCGUAGGCGGCUUCUUGAGUCGAGGGUGAAAACCUAUGGCUUAACCAUAGGCCUGCCCCCGAAACUGAGGAGCUUGAGGCCGUAAGAGGAAAGCGGAAUUCCUGGUGUAUCGGUGAAAUGAGUUGAUAUCAGGAGGAACACCGGUGGCGAAGGCGGCUUUCUGGUGCGGUUCUGACGCUGAGGUGCGAAAGCAUGGGGAGCAAACGGGAUUAGAUACCCCGGUAGUCCAUGCCGUAAACGAUGAGAACUAGGUGUCGGGGGAUCAACCCCCUCGGUGCCGCAGCUAACGCAUUAAGUUCUCCGCCUGGGGAGUACGGUCGCAAGGCUGAAACUCAAAGGAAUUGACGG
rnacentral:rRNA from 1 species